UACGAAGGGUGCAAGCGUUAAUCGGAAUGACUGGGCGUAAAGGGCGCGUAGGCGGUUAAUCAAGUUAUAUGUGAAAUUCCUGGGCUUAACCUGGGCGCUGCAUAUAAUACUAAUUAGCUAGAGUAGAGUAGAGGGAAGUGGAAUUUCCGGUGUAGCGGUGAAAUGCGUAGAUAUCGGAAAGAACAUUCGUGGCGAAGGCGGCUUCUGGACUCAUACUGACGCUGAGGCGCGAAAGCGUGGGGAGCAAACAGG
rnacentral:rRNA from 1 species